UACAGAGGUCUCAAGCGUUGUUCGGAUUCAUUGGGCGUAAAGGGUGCGUAGGUGGCGCCGUAAGUCGGGUGUGAAAUUUCGGAGCUUAACUCCGAAACUGCAUUCGAUACUGGCGGUGCUUGAGGACUGGAGAGGAGACUGGAAUUCAUGGUGUAGCAGUGAAAUGCGUAGAGAUCAUGAGGAAGACCAGUGGCGAAGGCGGGUCUCUGGACAGUUCCUGACACUGAGACACGAAGGCCAGGGGAGCAAACGGG
rnacentral:rRNA from 1 species